rnacentral:rRNA from 1 species
GUGUCAGCAGCCGCGGUAAUACGUAGGUGGCAAGCGUUAUCCGGAAUUAUUGGGCGUAAAGAGCGCGCAGGUGGUUGAUUAAGUCUGAUGUGAAAGCCCACGGCUUAACCGUGGAGGGUAAUUGGAAACUGGUUGACUUGAGUGCAGAAGAGGGAAGUGGAAUUCCAUGUGUAGCGGUGAAAUGCGUAGAGAUAUGGAGGAACACCAGUGGCGAAGGCGGCUUCCUGGUCUGUAACUGACACUGAGGCGCGAAAGCGUGGGGAGCAAACAGGAUUAGAUACCCUGGUAGUCCUCGCCCUAAACGAUGGAUGCUCGAUGUCGGUCCGCAAGGGUCGGUGUCUUAGCUAACGCUUUAAGCAUCCCACCUGGGAAGUACGAUCGCAAGGUUGAA